UACGAACUGUGCGAACGUUAUUCGGAAUCACUGGGCUUAAAGGGUGCGUAGGCGGCUUGUUAAGUCAGGUGUGAAAUCCCCCGGCUCAACCGGGGAACAGCGCUUGAAACUAGCAGGCUGGAGUGAGGCAGGGGUGUGCGGAACGUCCAGUGGAGCGGUGAAAUGUGUAGAUAUUGGAAGGAACGCCGGCGGCGAAAGCGGCACACUGGGCCUUGUCUGACGCUGAGGCACGAAAGCCAGGGGAGUGAACGGG
rnacentral:rRNA from 1 species